CCCCUAGAUGUUCUGGGCCGCACGCGCGCUACACUGAACAGUUCAACAAGUCUUAACCUUGGCCGAUAGGUCCGGGUAAUCUUUGAACGCUGUUCGUGAUUGGGAUAGACCUUUGCAAUUAUGGGUCUUCAACGAGGAAUUCCUAGUAAACGCAAGUCAUCAGCUUGCAUUGAUUACGUCCCUGCCCUUUGUACACACCGCCCGUCGCACCUACCGAUUGAAUGGUCCGGUGAAAUCUCGGGACGGCGGCUUGGUCGCUUGCGUCCGACUGCUGAAACUUGAUUAAACCAUAUCAUUUAGAGGAAGGUGAAGUCGUANCA
rnacentral:rRNA from 1 species